CAGUCUCAGUUCGGAUUGAAGGCUGAAGCCCGCCCUCGUAUGAAGUUGGAAUCGCUAGUAAUCGCGGAUCAGCAUGCCGCGGUGAAUACGUUCCCGGGCCUUGUACACACCGCCCGUCACACCAUGAGAGUCGGGAACACCCGAAGUCCGUAGCCUAACCGCAAGGGGGGCGCGGCCGAAGGUGGGUUCGAUAAUUGGGGUGAAGUCGUAACAAGGUAUC
rnacentral:rRNA from 1 species